rnacentral:lncRNA from 1 species
GAGGAGAGCGCAGAAGCCGUAAGCGGUGCGCGCUCGGGGCAGGUGAGGCAGCGAGAGCGCGGCCUGCGAGCGCGGGUCCCAGUCCGUGCGCCCCGCGCAGUCGUCUGCUUCCCGGGGCCACAGGUCCGGCUCGGCGGCGCACCGUCGGGGCAAAGCGGCAGUCGGGGGCGAAGACUCGAGCGCACACGGCGCAGGCAGUCGCGGCGGGAUGCAGAACUCAGGGAUGCGAUCAGGAGUAAGCACAUUGGUGAAGUUCCUCUGGUUCUUGAGUUGCAAGUUCUAUGCCCGAAGCCUCCCGGUCUCUGCUGGCACGCCAGCUUCAGCACUGUGGCCGGGACAGAGGUGCUCCUGUCUUAUAAGCAGACCCUGAGUCCCGCCCAGCGGGUCGAAGCCCAACCGCUGGCGGCGCUGGAUGGCCCGCCCCCCGGACCACCCCUUCUCGCCAACGCUGGGCUCUGCCGCGGAGGCUCGCGUGGGAGUGAAGCUGUGGUGUGAGUCGGAAUUCUCUGCUCAGCCCUGUGACCGCAUCCGCUCUGCGUGCAGAGGAACUGCUUCCGCGGGCCAGUGAAAGGUUGCAGGUGGGGAGGGAGGACGCUCUACCGCCCUCCCAGAAGUGGCGGCUGAAAAUGUUUGUGGCUUUUUGGAAAAGGUGAACCUGGGUGAGGAAACAGGAAGUUCCUUUUUGCUGAGCUCUAAAUCCUGCUCCCCUGCAUGUUACCUAUACGCAUUAGGAGCUUCUAUUUUACUGCUCCCAUGAACCUGCACUAUGUAGUCCAGUGUAUUUCCCAUGGUACUCCUGUACUUAUUUACACCCCAGUCUCCCUCUGCUGGACCGUGGCCUUCCUAACAGAAUGGGGCCUGGCUCAGUCAAUGCCAUGUAUAUUGGUGAAUUGAGUGAAUUAAUGUUUGCAAAAAUGUCUGAGUGACUGCAGGCUCUGCCUAUCAUGUUGAUUGUCACGAAAGGUGGGGUUUCUAGCUCAUGUUCUAAAAAUGAUAUUUCCAAAGCUAUCCCUGUCUCUGCUCUACUAUCCAGGUAUCCAGUUAGAAAGCACCUUAGAGAAAAUUCAGAUUGUCCCUUUCCACCAUCCCCCAACCUUCAUUUUCGAAGAUGAGAAAACUGGAAUUCCAGUGGGAUUUGAGGAUAUUCUAUUAACCUUCAAUAGAGCUAGUUAAUGGCAGAACCCAGAACUAGCAAUUUUCUAUUUAUUAGGUUUCACAUGUGAUGCUUCCUGUUAUCUGAAAUACCCUUCUCCACUUUUUAUAUAUAUAGGAACUCCUUUUUAUUGUUCAGCAGACAUCAUCCCCUUUAGGACCCUUUACCCAACUCCCCUACUACAGUUGUCAGCCUCUCCACAUUUCCUUCAUACACAAAUGUGUCACCAUUGCUGCAUAUACCAGGCUGCUUUGGAAUUUUAGGUGUAGACUAAUAGACUGAGUUUGUUUCUUUCUUUUUGUCCUUUUAGGGCUGUAUCCAUGGUAUAUGGAGGUUCCCACGCUAGGGGUUGAAUUGGAGCCACAGCUGCUGGCCUGUACUACAGCCACAGCAACACCAGAUCCGAGCCACAUCUGCAACCUACACCAUAGCUCACGGCAACGCCGGAUCCUUAACCCACUGAGCAAGGCCAGGGAUCGAACCUGCAUCAUCAUAGAUACUGGUCAGAUUCGUUUCUACUGAGCCACAACUGGAAUUCCUGGACUAUGAGUUUCUUAUGGGCAAGGGCUGGGGCAACUCAGCUAGGACUGGGGGACUUACUAUGAAUAGAUAUAAAAUAAAAACAAGUGUUAUGACCCAGAACCUGGGUUGGCCUCUGUCCCAAAGCAGACCUCUCCAAGAGACAAGUCUGGCUGUCUUAUUCAUCUCAUCCAGUUUCAGCACCUGGAGAUACAAUACCAAGCAAAUAAUAAGUGCUCAGUAAAUAUUUGAUGAAUUAUAUUGUGUUGAAUUUAGCCUGAUCUGCAAUCCAGGUCUUAUGACUGUCAUGUGCUUUUAACCACAUAUCUAACUGCUGUAUUCAGUUUCUUUCUCAUAACAAACCAGUGUAGUGGACAUUGCUUCUGUUUACAAGAAAAGAAACUGAUGCUCAGAU